CAGUCGCCGCGGUAAUACGGAGGGUGCGAGCGUUAAUCGGAAUUACUGGGCGCAAAGCGUACGCAGGCGGUUUGUUAAGUCAGAUGUGAAAUCCCCGAGCUUAACUCGGGAACUGCAUUUGAAACUGGCAGGCUAGAGUCUCGUAGAGGGGGGUAGAAUUCCAGGUGUAGCGGUGAAAUGCGUAGAGAUCUGGAGGAAUACCGGUGGCGAAGGCGGCCCCCUGGACGAAGACUGACGCUCAGGUACGAAAGCGUGGGGAGCAAACAGGAUUAGAUACCCCUGUAGUCCCUGUCUCUUAUAA
rnacentral:rRNA from 1 species